UCAAGCUAAAAAGAGCGCAGGGUGGAUGCCUUGGCACUAAGAGCCGAUGAAAGACGUGAUAAGCUGCGAUAAGCUACGGGGAGGAGCACAUAUCCAUUGAUCCGUAGAUUUCUGAAUGGGGAAACCCGGCUGAGCAUACCUCAGUCACCGUACACUGAAUCCAUAGGUGUACGGAGGGAACCCGGUGAACUGAAACAUCUAAGUAGCCGGAGGAAGAGAAAGAAAACUCGAUUUUCAAAGUAGCGGCGAGCGAAAUGGAAAGAGCCCAAACCGGAGUGCGUGCACUCCGGGGUUCGGACUGCAUUUAUGACUUCUGACUGUAGCGGAACGGUUCUGGAAAGACCGGCCAGAGAGGGUGAGAGCCCCGUAGGCGAAACGGAAAGAAGCAGAGCAGGAUCCAGAGUACCACGAGACACGAGAAACCUUGUGGGAAUGAGCGGGGACCACCCCGUAAGGCUAAAUACUCCUUAGUGACCGAUAGAGCAGAGUACUGUGAAGGAAAGGUGAAAAGGACCCCGGGAGGGGAGUGAAAGAGAACCUGAAACCCUGUGUUUACAAACUGUGGAAGUACCAUAUGAGUACAACCGCGUACUUUUUGUAGAACGGUCCGGCGAGUUACGUUUACUGGCGAGGUUAAGCACUUAAGGUGCGGAGCCGAAGGGAUACCAAGUCUUAACAGGGCGUUAAGUCAGUGUACGUAGACCCGAAACCGGGUGAUCUACCCAUGUCCAGGCUGAAGUUGCCGUAAAAGGCAAUGGAGGGCCGAACGCACAUCCGUUGAAAAGGGUGGCGAUGAGGUGUGGGUAGGGGAGAAAUUCCAAUCGAACCCGGAGAUAGCUGGUUCUCCUCGAAAUAGCUUUAGGGCUAGCCUCGUGUUAACCUUGUGGAGGUAGAGCACUGAAUAUCCUAGGGGGCGUCAAAGUCUACCGAAGAUUAUCAAACUCCGAAUGCCAUAGAGGUGAUGCACGGGAGUCAGACUGCACGAGAUAAGUUGGGUGGUCAAAAGGGAAAGAGCCCAGACCUACAGCUAAGGUCCCAAAGUGCGUGUUAAGUGGAAAAGGAUGUGGGAUUUCGAAGACAACUAGGAUGUUGGCUCAGAAGCAGCCAUACAUUCAAAGAGUGCGUAAUAGCUCACUAGUCGAGAGGUCCUGCGCCGAAAAUGUCCGGGGCUGAAACACGACACCGAAGCUUAGGACUCCUUUUAGGAGUGGUAGAGGAGCAUUGUUAGCGCAGCGAAGCUGUACCGAUAAGGAGCAGUGGAGUGCUAAGAAGAGAGAAUGCCGGAAUGAGUAGCGAGAGGAAGGUGAGAAUCCUUCCGGCCGAAUAUCCAAGGUUUCCAGAGUAAAGCUGAUCUGCUCUGGGUAAGUCGGGGCCUAAGGCGAGGUCGAAAGACGUAGUCGAUGGAUAACAGGUGGAGAUUCCUGUACUAUGUGUACCCAGAACUGUGGGGACGCAUGUGGAGAGCACGAGCCGGGAAAGAGAAAACCGGUACAAGCGGGGUAGGAGUAAGGACAGCAAAUCUUCCUUACAAUCCGAAGACGUGAUGUGGACCGAACCAAAGUAGGGAAGCGUGUGAGCCAUGUGCCAAGAAAAGCCGCUAUUGUGAUACACAUACCCGUACCGUAAACCGACACAGGUGGAUGAGGAGAGAAUCCUAAGGCCGACGGAAGAAGCAUUGUUAAGGAACUCGGCAAAAUGACCCCGUAACUUCGGGAGAAGGGGUGCCCUGUGAAAGCAGGGCCGCAGAGAAUAGGCUCAAGCAACUGUUUAGCAAAAACACAGGUCUAUGCGAAACCGAAAGGUGAGGUAUAUGGGCUGACGCCUGCCCGGUGCUGGAAGGUUAAGAGGAGAAGUCAGGCAACGAAGCUUCGAAUUUAAGCCCCAGUAAACGGCGGCCGUAACUAUAACGGUCCUAAGGUAGCGAAAUUCCUUGUCGGGUAAGUUCCG
rnacentral:rRNA from 1 species